UCCAGACUCCUACGGGAGGCAGCAGUGGGGGAUAUUGCACAAUGGGGGGAACCCUGAUGCAGCGACGCCGCGUGGGUGAAGGAGCGUUUCGGCGUGUAAAGCCCUAUCGGCAGGGAAGAAGGAGGACGGUACCUGACUAAGAAGCCCCGGCUAACUACGUGCCAGCAGCCGCGGUAAUACGUAGGGGGCAAGCGUUAUCCGGAUUUACUGGGUGUAAAGGGGGCGCAGACGGCAGCGCAAGCCAGGAGUGAAAGCCCGGGGCCCAACCCCGGGACUGCUCUUGGAACUGCGCGGCUGGAGUGCAGGAGGGGCAGGCGGAAUUCCUGGUGUAGCGGUGAAAUGCGUAGAUAUCAGGAGGAACACCGGUGGCGAAGGCGGCCUGCUGGACUGCGACUGACGUUGAGGCCCGAAAGCGUGGGGAGCAAACAGGAUUAGAUACCCGGGUACA
rnacentral:rRNA from 1 species